UGAAGUGAUUCGGGUCAUUUCGGGUCAGGUACAUUUCUUCGGACCCGAGAAGACCUCUAGUUGGGAGUCCAUCUGUUUCGAGUGUGUUUGUAAACUCGUUUCAUCGUUUAAGCGAUUAAAUCUCUCAAGUAGACGGUGUCUCUUUGUAUGCGAGGGCAAAAUAGCACUUUAUGGACUUCCACAGAGGAAUAAUGAUUAAUACGGUUCCGGCAAAAUCCAGUCAGAAGUUGUUUGUAAGUUCACAGAGUUUUCACAAUGACUGCUUCAUGAACCGAAGCCGGAUUUGCGCGACGUCUCCUCCUGAUAGUUGGAUUACCGUGCACUUCUGGAUCACAGGCUGUUGUACCUUGCAGCCAUCCAUUACAGUCACCAACCCAUAACAAAAGCAGGAGAGGGAAAGUACAGGGUUAUGUUCCCAAAAAACACAAGCGACAUACUGCUUGUGUUUGAUGAGGUAUUUGAAGAUAAGCUGAAGGAAACCCCGAUUCCAAUGGACCUGGCAUCACAGUUUGAGAGACCUUCAAAGGAGGAUGUGAUUGCAU